rnacentral:lncRNA from 1 species
UGGUGCUUAGAGAAGGGGAGUGGGCUGCAGUGGUGCGGCACAAAGCAAAGCUGUGGGACCGGAGUGGAGCGCUCAGAGUGCAGCCUGCGUGAUUUGCUCACGGGAGGAGAUCACCUUCCCAUCCUGCACCUCCUCAAAGAUGGUGCGGAUCUGGCGUGUGGUCACAGGCCCUUCUUUCACGGGCUGCGAGGCGUAGUGGGAGGACAUGUGGGCGUCCUCGCCCUCCAGCAGCCGGCGGUACGUGGCGAUCUCCUGCUCCAGGCGGCACUUGACGUCCAGCAGCACGCGGUACUCGUGGUUCUGCCGCUCCAUGUCACAGCGCAGCUCGGCCAGCUGCUCCUCCACGCUGGUGAUCAGCGCCUGCAGCUGGGCCAGCUGGGUGCCGUAGCGCGCCUCGGUGUCGGCCAGGGUGCCCUCCAGCGCCGCUUUCGUGCUGAGCUGGGACUGCAGGUCGAUCUCCAGGCUCUGGAUGGUGCGGC